rnacentral:piRNA from 1 species
UUUUAUGGUCAACAGCCCUACCUGAAUUUC